rnacentral:tRNA from 1 species
GGAGAGGUGGCUGAGUGGCCGAAAGCACUGGUUUUGAAAACCAGCGAGGGUUUGUAGCCCUCCCAGGGUUCGAAUCCCUGCCUCUCCGCCA